GUGGUUUCAAUAGGGAUGCUGGGUCCAAAGAAGCACCUCGAUUGUCAGAAUAUAACUUCAAUGUAGAUGUUUCCACCAUAGUAUUGGCCAUUGGGCGUAUCAAAGAUACCAGGUGCCCUCGACCUCUGCAGACUGAUCCAACCUAGAGAAACCCAAACCAAACAUGCAAAUAUCAUGGCACCCAUGCCCAUAAUCAAGAAUAUUGCAAAUAACUAAGAGAGGAAGUUGCUCGAUUGUUCAACUAGGGUCACCUUCGAGAAUUCUUAAGUGAUCGGGCUAAGAACCACUUCAAAAAUAGAGAUUCAAACAUACAAAACGAGCAAGAAGAGCCAAAAUAUGUGAUUCACAUGAUCGUUGGAGGGGUCGAUGUUCCCCAAGGACCGGUCAAAAUAAAAAACAGACUCGAGACUGCUUACCGGAAGAGACAUUGUCUUUCAACGACGAGGAUGCACAAGGGAUCGUACAGCCUCACAACAACGCACUUGUAAUAUCUAUCCUUAUGAAUACAAUUCCACUUAGAUGUGUCCUGAUAUAUCUUGGUUGCUUGGCCAACAUUAUUUGAUCAAGGGUCGUGGAACAACUUGGUCUACAAGAUCAAAUUGUGCCCGUAGCCUGAGUACUUAACGACUUCAAAAUGGCAAGAGAGACCACCAAAGGUGAGAAUAUUUUGCCAGUGAACAAGGCCAAGACCAUACAUGAAACUAAGUUCCAUUAAUCGAGGGAGAUAUGAGGUAUAACGCCCUGUUUGGAAGGCCCUGGAUCUAUAACAUAAGGAAAGUACCCUCGACCCUUCACCAAGUUCUGAAGUUCCCGGCAUCCAAGGGGCAGCCCACUCCAAGGAGAUGUUCGUAAUUGAUGAAAUGACACUGGUGUCAACACUUUCGUCAACAAAGGGAUAGAAUUCAAAGGGAAUGAAUUAAUGAAUAAGGAUUCGUGAGGUAAUGAAUAAAUUCAUGGAGAAAAGUAAAGUAAAUUAGUUACAGAAAGGUGAUUACUAUUUUAAUAUUUCUACACUAUCUUAACAUAAUCCAAUAUGAUUACCACCCAACCUACAAGAAUUAUACGAACAAUCCAUAAAUUAAAUAGAGCAAAUAAUCUCCUACAUUAAUCUUAAUAAUUGUUCCUACCCAUUUAAGAUAUCAAAGUAACGAAAAGGCAAAGAAAACAAAUACAACAGUUCAUUACAUUAAGAUGAGCAUGCCGAUAGUAAUUGGCAAAGCAAACAAAAGACAAGGAAGCUGAACAUAUAGAAAUGGACAGAGGAGUAAAUGAAAUUCUUGUAGGAACGCCGUAAAUGAACAAAAAACUAGCCCGCGUUUAAACGAAAUAGGAGAAACGCCAAAUGGACAUAAACGCUAAUAGACUAUGCUGAUUUCCACAAAGGCAUAUUUAUGAUAAGCAGUCACAGUAAUCCAAAUCUCAAUUAAUUGCGUAACUUCUAUCAAAAUAAAGGGGUAAAAGAUUAAACAUGAUCAACAAUUCUUCCUUUAAUAACAGAAACAAGAAGUAUCGGGUACAAUCAACUUGCUCUUAGCUAGCUUUGCUGGAAAUAUAGAGGCAAAAUUGUAAUGGUAAACACGAACGGACCUCGAACGACGACCUUAAACCGUUUUCAACAUCUCGACUCCAAUUUUGUCCGUGUGCGUGAUUGUGCGUGUACUCGAUCUAGGGGUUGCUGGUCGUCUUUGGGUUAGGAAAAAGACAUGGAUUUUGGCUUUUCUUCUCUGAAGAAGAUGCUCAAGUUCUGGGGGGUUGGUUUGUGUGCAUUUUGGUCUUGAGAACGAGGAGGAUGACCGCGUCGAUGGAGGGAAGGUCGUUUGGGAGUGGGGGUGGGGUAGUUCUACGGAGAUCAGAAAUCAGGAAGGGUUGGUCUUCUCUGUGUUAGCGGCUAGUUUUCGCUCUGUCCAGAAGAAGCUCGCUGGGGAGGGGGAUCGAAUAAGACAAAGUCAAGGGGAUGGAGUUUGUGAAAAGCUGUGCCGAUCCCUGAUUUUCAGGCGUUCUCUUUUUUUCUCACCCUUACCU
rnacentral:lncRNA from 1 species